GCACAGCAAGAAGAGGACUGGGCACCCCUCAUAGCCUGGUUCCUCUCUAGGUUUCUAAUCUCCACCCGGCACAGCCAGAAGAGGACUGGCCACCCCCCAUAGCCUGGUUCCUCUCUAGGUUUCUAAUCUCCACCCGGCACAGCCAGAAGAGGACUGGCCACCCCUCAUAGCCUGGUUCAUCUCUAGGUUUAUAAUCUCCACCCGGCACAGCCAGAAGAGGACUGACCACCCCUCAUAGCCUGGUUCCUCUCUAGGUUUAUAAUCUCCACCCGGCACAGCCAGAAGAGGACUGGCCACCCCUCAUAGCCUGGUUCCUCUCUAGGUUUCUAAUCUCCACCCUGCACAGCCAGAAGAGGACUGGCCACCCCUCAUAGCCUGGUUCCUCUCUAGGUUUCUAAUCUCCACCCGGCACAGCCAGAAGAGGACUGGCCACCCCACAUAGCCUGGUUCCUCUCUAGGUUUCUAAUCUCCACCCGGCACAGCCAGAAGAGGACUGGCCACCCCACAUAGCCUGGUUCCUCUCUAGGUUUCUAAUCUCCACCCGGCACAGCCAGAAGAGGACUGGCCACCCCACAUAGCCUGGUUCCUCUCUAGGUUUCUAAUCUCCACCCGGCACAGCCAGAAGAGGACUGGCCACCCCACAUAGCCUGGUUCCUCUCUAGGUUUCUAAUCUCCACCCGGCACAGCCAGAAGAGGACUGACCACCCCACAUAGCCUGGUUCCUCUCUAGGUUUCUAAUCUCCACCCGGCACAGCCAGAAGAGGACUGACCACCCCACAUAGCCUGGUUCCUCUCUAGGUUUCUAAUCUCCACCCGGCACAGCCAGAAGAGGACUGGCCACCCCACAUAGCCUGGUUCCUCUCUAGGUUUCUAAUCUCCACCCGGCACAGCCAGAAGAGGACUGACCACCCCACAUAGCCUGGUUCCUCUCUAGGUUUCUAAUCUCCACCCGGCACAGCCAGAAGAGGACUGACCACCCCACAUAGCCUGGUUCCUCUCUAGGUUUCUAAUCUCCACCCGGCACAGCCAGAAGAGGACUGACCACCCCACAUAGCCUGGUUCCUCUCUAGGUUUCUAAUCUCCACCCGGCACAGCCAGAAGAGGACUGGCCACCCCACAUAGCCUGGUUCCUCUCUAGGUUUCUAAUCUCCACCCGGCACAGCCAGAAGAGGACUGGCCACCCCACAUAGCCUGGUUCCUCUCUAGGUUUCUAAUCUCCACCCGGCACAGCCAGAAGAGGACUGGCCACCCCACAUAGCCUGGUUCCUCUCUAGGUUUCUAAUCUCCACCCGGCACAGCCAGAAGAGGACUGGCCACCCCACAUAGCCUGGUUCCUCUCUAGGUUUCUAAUCUCCACCCGGCACAGCCAGAAGAGGACUGGCCACCCCACAUAGCCUGGUUCCUCUCUAGGUUUCUAAUCUCCACCCGGCACAGCCAGAAGAGGACUGGCCACCCCACAUAGCCUGGUUCCUCUCUAGGUUUCUAAUCUCCACCCGGCACAGCCAGAAGAGGACUGGCCACCCCACAUAGCCUGGUUCCUCUCUAGGUUUCUAAUCUCCACCCGGCACAGCCAGAAGAGGACUGACCACCCCACAUAGCCUGGUUCCUCUCUAGGUUUCUAAUCUCCACCCGGCACAGCCAGAAGAGGAUUGACCACCCCACAUAGCCUGGUUCCUCUCUAGGUUUCUAAUCUCCACCCGGCACAGCCAGAA